rnacentral:rRNA from 1 species
GAUGAACGCUGGCGGCGUGCCUAACACAUGCAAGUCGAACGGAGUCGUUUUGGAAAUCUCUUCGGAGAUGGAAUUCUCGACUUAGUGGCGGACGGGUGAGUAACGCGUGAGCAAUCUGCCUUUAAGAGGGGGAUAACAGUCGGAAACGGCUGCUAAUACCGCAUAAAGCAUUAAAUUCGCAUGUUUUUGAUACCAAAGGAGCAAUCCGCUUUUAGAUGAGCUCGCGUCUGAUUAGCUAGUUGGCGGGGUAACGGCCCACCAAGGCGACGAUCAGUAGCCGGACUGAGAGGUUGAACGGCCACAUUGGGACUGAGACACGGCCCAGACUCCUACGGGAGGCAGCAGUGGGGAAUAUUGCGCAAUGGGGGAAACCCUGACGCAGCAACGCCGCGUGAUUGAAGAAGGCCUUCGGGUUGUAAAGAUCUUUAAUCAGGGACGAAACAAAUGACGGUACCUGAAGAAUAAGCUCCGGCUAACUACGUG